rnacentral:lncRNA from 1 species
CUUCUCCCUAUGUGGAUUCCCUGCCUUCUCCCUAUGUGAAUCAAACAGCUUGCUUAUAGCCUUUAAAGCUGUGAGCAAAUGUGUUUGCUGCCAGGGCAGCCACACCAGACUCUGGGAGCUGGGAACAGAGAGUACCCAAAGUGAAACCAACCUGCCACUGUCGGCUGUGCCUGCUCCUGAGUGUUGCACUCAGCAUGUGUGAUGGACGAUUCUUGGCAAAGGAGGCCAGGCACAAGGUGCCUGAGAAGCUAAGCUUAUCUUCAUGGCUGAUGUCUCUUCUUCCCAGCUGGCCCCCUCCAGGGGAAUGGAUCCACCUUUUUACGGCCACGUUGAAAACCCUCAAGGAAGGAUUGGAGGUAUAGCUCAGCUGUAGAACAUUUGCUUAGCAUGGAUGAGACCCUGGGUUCAAUCUUCAGCAUACUGAUUGGCCCAACUUGAACCAGUUGUCCAGCCUUGCACCCACUUAGAGGGAGGUAAAGAA